UACGGAGGAUCCAAGCGUUAUCCGGAAUCAUUGGGUUUAAAGGGUCCGUAGGCGGCCCGGUAAGUCAGUGGUGAAAUCUCACGGCUCAACCGUGAAAUUGCCAUUGAUACUGUCGGGCUUGAAUUGUUGGGAAGUAACUAGAAUAUGUAGUGUAGCGGUGAAAUGCUUAGAUAUUACAUGGAAUACCGAUUGCGAAGGCAGGUUACUACCAAUACAUUGACGCUGAUGGACGAAAGCGUGGGUAGCGAACAGG
rnacentral:rRNA from 1 species